AUUGUACUAUAAUAGAUUUGACUAUCUUUUACUUAAAUUAGUCUUUCAAUAAAUCCAUUGAUAUCAUCUAGUUUAUCCUCUGUAAAACUGAAUUUUAAUAAGUGCCCAUGUUGCUUGAAUUGGGGGUAACCCUGCAAAGAAUAAACGAAAUCUUUUUUUUUUUUUUAGUCUAUUUUUUAAGAGAAUGUGCUAUUUUGUCUCAGGUGAAAGUGUGUUAGUCCAUACACUGCUCUGUCUCUGACAGCCAAUAGGGAGGGACUGGCGGAGGCAAAGGGAGCUUGAACACCAACGUAACUGAUUGAUUUUCUCUUUUGCCUGGAAACUUGUUGGAACCUGUCUUAAAAAAUUCUGAGCAGACUUGAAGGAUGAACCUAGACUUUUAGUUUAGUUGGAGAAAAUUGGUUUUAGUGGAGAACAAUAAUAAUAAACGUAGAGACAAUUAUAUUUAAAGUAGAUAUUUUCUUACAACUUUUGGAAAUUGGUCUUCUCCACUGUAUGCACUGCCCUUAUAAAAGCACAGUAAUUUGCUUUGCUUUAUGCCUAAUUUGUGCCAAUUGUUGAAGGGGCAAGAGAGUGUAGUGGAGGUUCCCUUGGGUGUAUGUAUGUUUAAGGUUAAUUGUAACUUAGUGGUUUCUUGCUCUCACUGUUCUAGUUCAGGUAAAAGACCCUCCAUUCAUUCUGUUCCAGCGAUAAUCACUCAGACUCAACCUACUGAUUUAUCAUUCCAGUUUAACUUAUGUCACUUCCUUCCCACUCCUCUUCCCCUGAUAGCUUCUUGAGCUGUCACCCCGUGCAUCUCUUUGUGCCUCAUUAUUCCGUCCCUGCCAGCCUCCUGUCAAGGAGUGAGGAUCUAGAUCUGAAGACCUUUGAUACAGAUUCUUGGAGAGCAAACCUUCAGAGAUUUUUGUCAAUUCUUAUUUCCACUUCCUUAAAAAAAAUUUUUUUUAAUCUAAAAUACUAAACAUUUAAAAAAUUCUGACUUCACUUGUUUCAAAUUCAAAUGAGUUCUUGUCCCUUCAUUGCUCAGGCUGAAGUUUGUCUGUGUAGGAAUGGAGCUAACUAAACUAGUGAAUGUAAAUGAAUGUGUAAAGAUAUACUUAUCUACUAAAGGGAACAAAUUACUUUCAGCCUCGUAGGCAUGUCCACUUGCUUUUUAAAAAUGAACUCUAUUUAAGGGAAGGGUUUGCAAUGCUUAAGUAGUUGUUUUUAGCAGUUUAUUAAAAAUCACUGGAAUCUGUUUUCAGAGCAACACUUAUAUUAGCAUUAUUUAUCCUUCAUGGCUCUUGCUUUGUUCAUCUCAGCAGAUUAAGGAAGAUGAGCUGAGGCUGGAAGGAGCCGGGGGAGUAGGUGAAGGCUCAGGGGAGGUACGAACAGCUUCUAUGGAGGAGUCAGGUCCAGCAGAUGAACACGGGGCGUGUCAAACAUGUACAAGGACCGUGGUCCCUCUCAGAGCAUGUGAGGGACAAGCCCAGAGUGCACACAUGGGCAGCUUUGUGUGUUUGUAUGCACCUGAGAGUAGCAGGAGAGGAGGGUCCUAACCGGCGGGCAGUGUACAUAUGUGGAGACCCCAGAAGACAUUGAUAUGGGUCUGUCCAAGUGGGCAACAAGUGCCCACUAGAAUUUUGGACCCUGCCAUCCUCCAGGGGCUCCAGGGCAGGACUGCAGUUCCUAAGAGGGGGCUUAGAGAGAUCACAGCAGAGCCCUUGCUUGCCUUUCCUGAGCUUCACAUUCUGACUCUGUAAAAUGGAAGUGAUAAUGGUAAUGAUCUCAUGGGGUUAUUCUGAAGGCUAAUUGAAAGGAUACAUGUGAAGACCCUAGAGUAACAUCUGGUGCACAGUAUUUAAAUGUUAGCUAUUACUAUGUUUACAUGAAAGUAAUGAAACGGUAUUUCUUUUUAAGUGCCCCAUAACUGAGCUUUAUUAUUUCUCAAUUCACUUAUUUCAAGCAAUGAAUUUUAGUACAUCCUAGGUAGGUGAUUUCUAGAAGUUUUUUGUUGUUGUUGUUUUGGGGGAGGGGACUGUUUCAGUAGUAAAAUCUGUUCAGGACAAGAAAAGCAUUUAAAUGCUGAUAAAAAGAAAUUCGUGUUUUUUUGGACAAAUCCUUAUUUUUGCUAAAUUCAUAGAGUUCUUACCCAGUGGUACCAAACUGUAAAGUGCAUGGGAAAAAGGAUACAAUAAUUAUGCCAUAAUAUUAGGGCAGGUGUAGAAAUAAGGGAUGACCAUUGUAUAAAAACCGUAAUACUAGUCAGAACACAUCUCCAAUGAAAAAAAAAAUGUUUCCUUUUGUUAGCAGGACAAAACUUUCAUGACCCCAAACCAAAACAGUAAUAAAAACAACAGCUCAGCAAGCCAACUGGUUUUCACUAUCUUGAUCAUUUAACAUUUUUUCCAAAGUCGAAACUGUAGUAUGUUAAGGAUUCAUUGAAAUGAUACCAAAACGAAUUAAAGUCACAUGACACCACAGAAAUCAUAAUUUCCUUCCUACGAAUUGCCUAAGAUUUAAUAAUAACUUAAUUUAAUAAUUUUAAGGGGAGUUCCCGUCGUGGCGCAGUGGUUAAUGAAUCCGACUAGGAACCAUGAGGUUGCGGGUUUGGUCCCUGCCCUUGCUCAGUGGGUUAACGAUCCGGCAUUGCCGUGAGCUGUGGUGUAGGUUGCAGACGUGGCUCGGAUCCCGCAUUGCUGUGGCUCUGGUGUAGGCCGGUGGCUACAGCUCCGAUUCGACCCCUAGCCUGGGAACCUCUACAUGCUGCGGGAGCGGCCCAAGAAAUAGCAAAAAGACAAAAAUAAUAAUAAUAAUAAUAAUUUUAAGGGAUUUUAAAGGUGAUCUUCACGACCAGGUUCAUUGUUUUGAGGCUGUAGAAGUCAGGUACAUUUGCCCAAAGUCGUCAGCCAGGAUUGCUGAGUUUUCCAUUCAUACUGUCUUAUAAGUUUGGUCAUACUCUAAAAGUUAACUGUCUUUUACUUGGGUAAAUCAAAGAUAAAUAUACUAGGAGUGCUUCCUAGUCACACUGUGUAGGUAGAAUAAGAUGCACUUUGGUAGAUGGGUUUUUAAAUAUUAUGGAAGAUAGAUUGCCACAGCCACUUUGGAAGACAGUUUGGCAAUUUCUUACAAAGCUCAUCAUAGGUGUACCAUGCAGUUCGGCAGCUGUGAUUCUAAAUAUUUACCCAAAUGAGUGGAAAACUUAGGUCCACACAAAACCUGCACAUGAAUAUUUAUAGCAGCUUGAGUUAUUCAUAAUUGCCUCAAACUAGAGACAACCAAGGUGUCCUUCAAUAGACGAAUGGAUCAACUGUGGUACAUCCAUAAAAUGGAACAUUAUUGAGCACUAAAAAGAAAUGAUAGAGACAGGCUGAAUAGAUGGAGCACAGUGGAUUUUUAAGUAGCGACACUACUCCAUGUGAUAUUGUAAUGGUGGAGAGAUGACAUCGAGCAUUUGCCUAACCCAUAGAAUGAUGUAAACAGAGUGAACCCUGGAGUCCUGCUGUGGCACAGUGGGUUAAGAAUCCAAUUGUAGCAGCUUGGGUUACUUGGGAGGCAUGACCUGGUGCAGUGGGUUAAAGGAUCUGGUGUUGCAGCAGUUGCGACAUAGGUCCCAGCUGCGGCUUGGAUUCAAUCCCUGGCCCAGGAACUUCCAUAUGCCGCGGAUGUGGCC
rnacentral:lncRNA from 1 species